rnacentral:rRNA from 1 species
GACGGAGGAUGCAAGUGUUAUCCGGAAUCACUGGGCGUAAAGCGUCUGUAGGUGGUCAAAUAAGUCAACUGUUAAAUCUUGAGGCUCAACCUCAAAAUCGCAGUCGAAACUAUUAGACUAGAGUAUAGUAGGGGUAAAGGGAAUUUCCAGUGGAGCGGUGAAAUGCGUAAAGAUUGGAAAGAACACCGAUGGCGAAGGCACUUUACUGGGCUAUUACUAACACUCAGAGACGAAAGCUAGGGUAGCAAAUGGG